rnacentral:rRNA from 1 species
AUUGAACGCUGGCGGCAUGCCUUACACAUGCAAGUCGAACGGCAGCACGGGUGCUUGCACCUGGUGGCGAGUGGCGAACGGGUGAGUAAUACAUCGGAACGUGCCUUAUCGUGGGGGAUAACGCAGCGAAAGCUGUGCUAAUACCGCAUACGCCCUGAGGGGGAAAGCGGGGGAUCGCAAGACCUCGCGCGAUUAGAGCGGCCGAUGCCUGAUUAGCUUGUUGGCGGGGUAAAAGCCCACCAAGGCGACGAUCAGUAGCUGGGCUGAGAGGACGAUCAGCCACACUGGGACUGAGACACGGCCCAGACUCCUACGGGAGGCAGCAGUGGGGAAUUUUGGACAAUGGGGGCAACCCUGAUCCAGCAAUGCCGCUUGAGUGAAGAAGGCCUUCGGGUUGUAAAGCUCUUUUGUCAGGGAAGAAACACCGGCUCUAACACAGUCCGGGGAUGACGGUACCUGAAGAAUAAGCACCGGCUAACUACGUGCCAGCAGCCGCCGUAA